CUGGCUUCCACUUCCGUGGCUCACCAGGAAACUGUGAAGCACAUAUAAAAAUCCACAGGAAGUUGGAAAGAUUUUUUAUUACUAGCCUUGAGGCAAUUCACAUGCUUUUUGCAAAGCUGUUAUAAACUGACAAAUAUACAAGAUGGAUGAUAUUGUAACACACACCUAGAGUGAAAAUGGAGUGCAGAACAAAAUGAUCCACAUCAGAAGGGAAAGAAGUUAGUCAGAGAGGCUGAACAUCUGCAAGACUUUUGAACAGCAUCAGCUCUGGCUGGACAAACUGCAUGCAUUUUGCCUACACAGAAAAAGAUUACUUCUCUUCCAAAUAACCUUGCUCAACCUACAAAAGCUUGCCGUUUUAUUCAUCAGUGAGAGGCAGUUAGUCAAGAUUCUAGCUGCCAUUUGUGACUCAUCCACACCUGUGAACAGCCGUACCCUCAAGAAGUGCACCUUCCAACCACCCUUAUAUGAGCCUGCUCCAAAACCUUGCCAGCCAGCACUUCCAGGUUACGACUAUUGACCUCCAGCUCCCAGUUUCAGAGAGUUCUCCCAGUCUCCUGGAUCACACUGGUCUGAAAGCUGUUUGGUAGACAACCUUCGAGUCUUUCUGCCUUCAUACUGUGGGUAUACCGUUCUCCCAACUGAAAACCCGUUUAUUUUCUUAUCUGUCUACUCAAAGCCUAACCAACACCAAAUGGCCUAGAAAUGCCACGUACCUACCAGUUGCCUCUUUCCUCCUCCAGCCCUUGUGAAUGUGAAUUCACAUCUCUGUUCUCUGUGUUCCUUGGCCACUUAGUACCAUUCACAAUAUCUCUCAUAGCUAGCUCUCUGCCUUAGGGCUGGCCCAUGGGACUAAAAUUCCUUGUGGUAGGUAUU
rnacentral:lncRNA from 1 species